UACAGAGGUCCCGAGCGUUGUUCGGAUUCAUUGGGCGUAAAGGGUGCGUAGGUGGCGCUGUAAGUGGGGUGUGAAAUCCCGGGGCUUAACCCCGGGACUGCAUUCCAUACUGCGGUGCUUGAGGACUGGAGAGGAGACUGGAAUUUACGGUGUAGCAGUGAAAUGCGUAGAUAUCGAGAGGAACACCUGCGGCGAAGGCGGGUUGCUGGGCUGACACUGACGCUGAGGCGCGAAAGCUAGGGGAGCGAACGGG
rnacentral:rRNA from 1 species